CUUGAGUGCGUCGGGGCAACGAGUGGGGACAGACAGACACAGAGGGAAGACCACGUGAGGACACGCGGAGCAGGCGGCCAUCUGCAACCCAGGAGACGGGCCUCGGAGAAACCAAACCUGCGCCGCCUGGGUCUCGCACUCCGAGCCUCCAGACGGAGGAAACACGCGUGUUUCAGCCCGGCAGUCUGAUACUUCAUGAUGGCCACCCAGCGAAUGACGUCCCUGGCGGCGGGCUCUGCUACGCCUUUUACUUUGCCUCGCGUCCCGCUCUUGCUCGCGGUUCCCCCAUCUCAAGACCCCACAAGGCGCUGCCCUGGCAUCCUGUGCUCAGGCUCCUCUGGGCAAAGAUUCACUGUAGGGAUGUUCUCUGUGCAACUCCUGCCGGGCCUGUCCAUCUGCAGCUGCUCUCAGGCCACCAGGAAAGUUCUGGGCAGCCUCAGGCAGAGCCUAGGCCUGGUUUAGAGUGGAGUUUCCAGAUGCAUGCCACCAUCCACAGCCGCUCCAUCCUAGGGAACUCUGGGCCUGGGAUUGCCAGAUAAAGUACAGAACACCCAGUUAAAUUUGAAUUUCAGAUAAACAACAAAUAAUGUUUCAGUAUAAGUAUAUCCUAAAUAUUGCACAGGCAUCCUUAUACUAAAACAUUAUUUGUUUACCUGAAAUUCAGAUUUUACUGAGCAUCCUGGAUUUUUAUUUGCUACCCUACCAGCGUCGUGGGGAGUCCAGGGCACUCCGCAUAAAGACACUUUGAGAGAAUUUUCCUCCACAUCCUUCAGGAAAUCUGGACCAAAAGCUGGCCAGAGGCAGGAGCACCCCACAUCCCUCAGCCCUGAGCAGAAGCAGGCUUCCCAGGCCCACCUUGUCCUAACCCUGGUACCCACGAUAGCACCAGAGACUGCAAUCUCCAAGUGUCGCCGUGGAGAGCAAACAAGACACCACACGGACAACCUUAACACAGUGCCUGACAGAAAGCAAGUGCUGGAUAAAUGCUAGCGCACUGCUGCGGGAGCCUCUCCACUUCUGUUUACAUCUCCUGCCCCAACACUCUAGCACACACGAGUUCUCCUAACUGAGCCCCAGCAGUGCUCUGAAGGCCUGGAGCUAACGACAAGCUCUGUGAGCUCCAGCUCCUGGAAACUUUCCCAGGAAAAUUUGGGAUGCAGAGAUGUGGGAUAGAAGACAGAUGGCUUUGGCAUUUUGUGGUAUGGGUAGUGAAAGGUCAGUUAGCUCUGUAGGAGAGAGCUCAGUGCCGCAGGGAUCUGGCCCAUGAGAUAGUCUUCCUCACCUCUAUCACCUAACCCUCCCCAGUCCCAGGUUGUACAGAGUUCAUUGACCCCCUCCCCUACCUUCCAUGGACACUGGGCCUGGGCCCCAAACAAAGGAAUGCGUCUGGCCUCGGGGCCAAAGAUGGCCACUUCGGCCUUGACUCUAAGGCACCACUUACAAAAAAAUAUGUCCUGCGUCAUGUUCCUUGUCUAGCCUGGCCACCCGGAAGGGCACCUGACAGGACUUUAGAAACAUCCCAUCCGUAGGAACAAAAAUGGUAAAAGCACCCCAUCCGUGGGAACAAG
rnacentral:lncRNA from 1 species